rnacentral:rRNA from 1 species
UACGUAGGGGGCAAGCGUUGUCCGGAUUUAUUGGGCGUAAAGAGCGUGUAGGCGGCUUUACAGGUCCGUUGUGAAAACUCGAGGCUCAACCCUGGAAUGCCGGUGGAUACUGCCGGGCUAGAGUCCGGAAGAGGCGAGUGGAAUUCCUGGUGUAGCGGUGAAAUGCGCAGAUAUCAGGAGGAACACCGAUGGCGAAGGCAGCUCGCUGGGACGGUACUGACGCUGAGACGCGAAAGCGUGGGGAGCAAACAGG